GAUGAACGCUGGCGGCGUGCCUAAUACAUGCAAGUCGAGCGAAUGGAUUAAGAGCUUGCUCUUAUGAAGUUAGCGGCGGACGGGUGAGUAACACGUGGGUAACCUGCCCAUAAGUCUGGGAUAACUCCGGGAAACCGGGGCUAAUACCGGAUAACAUUUUGAACCGCAUGGUUCGAAAUUGAAAGGCGGCCUCGGCUGUCACUUAUGGAUGGACCCGCGUCGCAUUAGCUAGUUGGUGAGGUAACGGCUCACCAAGGCAACGAUGCGUAGCCGACCUGAGAGGGUGAUCGGCCACACUGGGACUGAGACACGGCCCAGACUCCUACGGGAGGCAGCAGUAGGGAAUCUUCCGCAAUGGACGAAAGUCUGACGGAGCAACGCCGCGUGUGUGAUGAAGGCUUUCGGGUCGUAAAACUCUGUUGUUAGGGAAGAACAAGUGCUAGUUGAAUAAGCUGGCACCUUGACGGUACCUAACCAGAAAGCCACGGCUAACUACGUGCCAGCCGCCGCGGUAA
rnacentral:rRNA from 1 species